GCUUUAAAAGGUCCACACUGAGUAGCUUUUCCUUUUGGGGCUUUUUCUCUCAGUUUCAUCUUUCUGGCUGCCAUUGGUUUAAAUACAGACUGUUCUUUAUUUCAUUUCUACCUGGUUCCAGGGAGGUGAGAGUUCAGCGGGAGUUCACCGUCUCCUCCCUUCAACCAAUGACUUAUAACUUCCUAUUCAGACCGGAGAGAGAUGGUCUACGUACAUGCCCCGCUGCACGCAUGUGGGGGGAAAAGCAGAGCUGCUGAUAGAGGCGUGCAUCGCCGCAGGAGAUGUGAUGAAGGCGAAUGUUUAUGAUGCGUCGUACACGACGCCUGAGAUCAGUUAGAAGAUGCAGAAAUCCACGAGGAAAAGCAUCUUAAAUUCAACGAGAGCCUUUCUGAACUGGAAGGAUAGACAUUAUUUUACACUCGCUGAAG